rnacentral:rRNA from 4 species
AGAGUUUGAUCAUGGCUCAGAUUGAACGCUGGCGGCAGGCCUAACACAUGCAAGUCGAACGGUAACAGGAAACAGCUUGCUGUUUCGCUGACGAGUGGCGGACGGGUGAGUAAUGUCUGGGAAACUGCCUGAUGGAGGGGGAUAACUACUGGAAACGGUAGCUAAUACCGCAUAAUGUCGCAAGACCAAAGAGGGGGACCUUCGGGCCUCUUGCCAUCGGAUGUGCCCAGAUGGGAUUAGCUAGUAGGUGGGGUAAAGGCUCACCUAGGCGACGAUCCCUAGCUGGUCUGAGAGGAUGACCAGCCACACUGGAACUGAGACACGGUCCAGACUCCUACGGGAGGCAGCAGUGGGGAAUAUUGCACAAUGGGCGCAAGCCUGAUGCAGCCAUGCCGCGUGUAUGAAGAAGGCCUUCGGGUUGUAAAGUACUUUCAGCGGGGAGGAAGGGAGUAAAGUUAAUACCUUUGCUCAUUGACGUUACCCGCAGAAGAAGCACCGGCUAACUCCGUGCCAGCAGCCGCGGUAAUACGGAGGGUGCAAGCGUUAAUCGGAAUUACUGGGCGUAAAGCGCACGCAGGCGGUUUGUUAAGUCAGAUGUGAAAUCCCCGGGCUCAACCUGGGAACUGCAUCUGAUACUGGCAAGCUUGAGUCUCGUAGAGGGGGGUAGAAUUCCAGGUGUAGCGGUGAAAUGCGUAGAGAUCUGGAGGAAUACCGGUGGCGAAGGCGGCCCCCUGGACGAAGACUGACGCUCAGGUGCGAAAGCGUGGGGAGCAAACAGGAUUAGAUACCCUGGUAGUCCACGCCGUAAACGAUGUCGACUUGGAGGUUGUGCCCUUGAGGCGUGGCUUCCGGAGCUAACGCGUUAAGUCGACCGCCUGGGGAGUACGGCCGCAAGGUUAAAACUCAAAUGAAUUGACGGGGGCCCGCACAAGCGGUGGAGCAUGUGGUUUAAUUCGAUGCAACGCGAAGAACCUUACCUGGUCUUGACAUCCACGGAAGUUUUCAGAGAUGAGAAUGUGCCUUCGGGAACCGUGAGACAGGUGCUGCAUGGCUGUCGUCAGCUCGUGUUGUGAAAUGUUGGGUUAAGUCCCGCAACGAGCGCAACCCUUAUCCUUUGUUGCCAGCGGUCCGGCCGGGAACUCAAAGGAGACUGCCAGUGAUAAACUGGAGGAAGGUGGGGAUGACGUCAAGUCAUCAUGGCCCUUACGACCAGGGCUACACACGUGCUACAAUGGCGCAUACAAAGAGAAGCGACCUCGCGAGAGCAAGCGGACCUCAUAAAGUGCGUCGUAGUCCGGAUUGGAGUCUGCAACUCGACUCCAUGAAGUCGGAAUCGCUAGUAAUCGUGGAUCAGAAUGCCACGGUGAAUACGUUCCCGGGCCUUGUACACACCGCCCGUCACACCAUGGGAGUGGGUUGCAAAAGAAGUAGGUAGCUUAACCUUCGGGAGGGCGCUUACCACUUUGUGAUUCAUGACUGGGGUGAAGUCGUAACAAGGUAACCGUAGGGGAACCUGCGGUUGGAUCACCU